ACUCAAAUGAAUAGACGGGGGCCCGCACAAGCGGUGGAGCAUGUGGUUCAAUUCGAUGCAACGCGAAGAACCUUACCUGGGUUUGAACUGUAACUGAAUCAUCCAGAGAUGGAUGCGGCUAGCAAUAGACAGUUACAGAGGUGCUGCAUGGCUGUCGUCAGCUCGUGUCGUGAGAUGUUGGGUUAAGUCCCGCAACGAGCGCAACCCUUGCCUCUAGUUGCCAAUCGGUCUUCGGAUCGGGGGCACUCUAGAUGGGACUGCUGGUGAUAAACCGGAGGAAGGUGGGGAUGACGUCAAGUCAUCAUGGCCUUUAUGUCCAGGGCUACACACGUGCUACAAUGCUCGGUACAAAGGGUCGCAAAACCGCGAGGUCGAGCCAAUCCCAAAAAACCGGGCUCAGUUCGGAUUGCAGUCUGCAACUUGACUGCAUGAAGUUGGAAUCGCUAGUAAUCGCGGAUCAGCAUGCCGCGGUGAAUACGUUUCCGGGCCUUGUACACACCGCCCGU
rnacentral:rRNA from 1 species